GCCGGGCGUGGUGGCGUGUGCCUGUAAUCCCAGCUACUCAGGAGGCUGAGGCAGAAGAAUUGCUUGAACCCAGGAGGCAGAGGUUGCAGUGAGCCACUGCACUCCAAGACUGUGCCACUGCACUCCAACCUGAGCAACAGAGCAAGACUCUGUCUCAA
rnacentral:sRNA from 1 species